rnacentral:tRNA from 1 species
GGCCGAGUAGUUCAGCUGGUUAGAACGCUAGCCUGUCACGCUAGAGGUCGUGGGUUCGAGCCCCAUCUCGGUCGCCA